rnacentral:rRNA from 1 species
UACGUAGGGUGCAAGCGUUGUCCGGAAUUAUUGGGCGUAAAGAGCGCGUAGGCGGUCCGGUAAGUCGGCUGUGAAAGUCAAGGGCUCAACCCUUGAAAGCCGGCCGAUACUGUCGGACUAGAGUCCGGAAGAGGCGAGUGGAAUUCCCCGGUGUAGCGGUGAAAUGCGCAGAUAUCGGGAGGAACACCAAUGGCGAAGGCAGCUCGCUGGGACGGUACUGACGCUGAGGCGCGAAAGCGUGGGGAGCAAACAGG